rnacentral:misc_RNA from 1 species
CCUUCUCAAACACCCCAUCUUUUGUUAGGUGGAUGUGUUUGGUGGUGAGUGAUACUCUGCUCUUGAGUUAGCUUGAAAGUGUGAGCCCAUGGGCUGCUCUGCUGAGGCGGAAGUCGUGCUAGGUAAAUCCAACUCGACGCUACGCAUAUCGGUGACAGCGGUCUCGGCGAACAGACACAUCAAC